GGAAGGGCUGGGAGAAAGCAGUGGAUGAAGCAAGGAUCCCUGCCAUGCCCAUGGAGCUUAUGCAAGUGGAAGGAGACAGAUGUUAAACAAGACAACUGAGGAAAAAUAUAGUAUGUCAGCGGGUGAUGGUGCUGAGGACACUGAUAAAGCAGGGAAGAGGGUAGCAGUGUUGACCCUGACCAGCCAGGAGCGGCCUCACUGAGAAAGCGGCCUCUGAGUCAGGACUUGAAGGAGGUGAGGCAGUGGACGUGCGUGCAAGGGUCCUGUGAUAUUACAUAAAAGUUACCUAUGUUUCUAGAUACUGGAUUUACUCAACUGUGAAAUGGGAACAAAAGCCACCUUCCUGAUCUGUUCUGCCAAUCGGGCCCAGGCACCAAACAGGAGCACGACCACAGCUCCUACUGCCGCGUUCAUCAGCAGCAUCACUGCGGCAGCGCCGUGGCCUCUGUAAAUAGCAGCUUGCUGGAACUGGAGCAGUUCUGUUCGGGUCAACAAACCCUCCCCAGCACGUGGCAGGUGUGCCUGGCGCUGGACUGGGUGUUGGGCACAAGAGACGAAGGAGAUGAAAGAGGCAUCUCUCCUGCCCUUAAAGAGACAGAGCAGCAGAGACAAGGCAAGGCGAUGACUUCACCCCAGUCUAGUAACUGCAAACAAAGCGAGCUGCGAGGGACUGUGAAAGCCUGGACAAGGGGCUUCAAGGAAGAGACCUCAAUUUAAAACAAAAACAAAAACCUGCUUGCUGCUGAGCUGGCCUGACUCCUCAGUAACUGGAACUCUUUGUUUUUUGAAUUUUUAUUGGGCUGAUCAGCAUGGAGGCCAGUGGGAGCAGGCUUGUGGUGGUGAGUGAUGUCUCAACAGGCUUGAUGCUGCCCAGCUGUCCACACCCGCCAUCACCCUCUCAAAGGUGGGGACAGCCACACACAGCAAGAGAUGUGAGCAAGGACUCAUAGAAGCCAGCUGCCGCCUUCAAGAAAACAUCCUUAUGUGGAGCUGUGCCUUGACUUGCUUAGGGGACCUCCUUCUUGGAAGCUUCCAAGAAACUACAAGUUGCCUUUGGUAGUAGACUGGAGCAGGUAGGCAGAGAAGAAUAACACAUUCCUAAAGAAUUUCCGUUUCAGCUAGGAGAAUGGGGGAUGCUCUGCACGGGAGACUGUUUGCUGCAGGCUGAGGAGCCACCGCAGGAGACGAGCAAGAGCUGGUGCGUGGGACGCAGGUGGAGCAGGUGCUCAGGU
rnacentral:lncRNA from 1 species